rnacentral:rRNA from 1 species
UACAGAGGUCUCAAGCGUUGUUCGGAUUUAUUGGGCGUAAAGAGCUCGUAGGCGGUCUGUCGCGUCUGUUGUGAAAACUCGAGGCUCAACCUCGGGCUUGCAGUGGAUACGGGCAGACUAGAGUGCGGUAGGGGAGACUGGAAUUCCUGGUGUAGCGGUGAAAUGCGUAGAUAUCGGGAGGAACAUCAGUGGCGAAGGCGGCUACCUGGCCCAAUACUGACACUCAGGUGCGACAGCGUGGGGAGCAAACAGG